rnacentral:rRNA from 1 species
UACAGAGGUGGCAAGCGUUGUUCGGAAUUACUGGGCGUAAAGGGCGCGUAGGUGGCUUUUUUAGUCAGACGUGAAAUCCCCGGGCUUAACUCGGGAACUGCGUCUGAUACUGGAAAGCUUGAGUUCGGGAGAGGAAUGUGGAAUUCCAGGUGUAGCGGUGAAAUGCGUAGAUAUCUGGAGGAACACCGGUGGCGAAGGCGGCAUUCUGGACCGAAACUGACGCUGAGGCGCGAAAGCCAGGGGAGCAAACGGG